AAUCGCCGCUCCAGAGGUCGACCGUCCUUCAGCAGGAGCAGGAAAGAGGAAGACUGGCCAACAGGGCGUCAAGAGCCCUCAUACAAUGAUGCCUCUUGUCUUGGUUUUCUGGCUCGGUGACUGCACCUGGGAAAGACUGGAGGGCCUGCAGCACUGGUUUAUAAUGCUGAUGAUUAACUAAAUAGAGUCUGGGAGAGCAGGUCUGCUUGGCUUUCUCAUUUCAUGGGGCCUGCCUGACCGGGACGAAGACGGAGCAUUCUCAGGCAGUGGGCUGGAAAUUCAAGAUCUUUUUUCUCUUUCUUUUUUGGCCUCCACCCUCUAAACGUAUUCACUUUUCUUCGGUUUUGUUACAUUCCUUCCUUGGGGUACCUUUCAUGACGGUAAGGUUACAGGUGCAUUCUCUGUUUUCCUUCUCCACCUUCUUUCCCCCAAACUUUUCCCUCCCUUCGAUUCUCUUUUCUUUCUCCCUCCCCGUCUCUCCCCCCUGCUCCACUUUUGCAUUACUUACAGGAUAACUUGAAACCUAUUCUCUUUCACUGAGCACGGAAAUGCCUCAAAGUUAGUAAUUUUAUUAAGAUUCAAAUAAGAAAAGGUUACUUCUGAUUGAUUUGAACCAAACUCUAAAUCUUUGUCAAAGAAAAAGGGGAAGUCUCCACUUCUAGGUAAUGACUAAAAUGCCUGAACGUUAAAUUCGGAGAAUUAUAACGUAUGUUAAAUAUCCGUACGAGGUGUUACGAUUUCACGCGUUGCACCUGUGAAUGAGCCAUGUUAUUCAGUAAAUGAGGGCUGUUUCAGUGACCUUCUGCAUACACAGCGUUGGCUCAGGUCGAGCUGAGCAGCAUUCCAUCAGCCUUUCAUCACUCAGCAAACACAAAGAGAGGUCCACCAACGGAAAACAGGAAAAAAAAAGGCUCUUCUUUUCUUCGAUUCCAUAAAACAUCUGUUGAAACUGACUUGACAACGCUACUAUAUUAGAACAAGAACAGUGUGUUGCAACUUGAAAAGCCAGUUACCCAUCUGCAGGGAGACGGCACGAUGUGGAACAGAAAGAGCUCCCCGAGGGGUGACGUGCUUUUGACUCGGUGACAUUUUUGAGUGGAUGUGUGCGUCUUGCGGUGUUUGAAAUUAGUAACAGCCAUGUAUUGUGUGAAAAGCAGCCCUCCCAACCUUGCCGCACCAUAGAUUUAGACCAGUCAGAACAGGUUUUGGCAAUCAUUAACAAGUACUGUGGCCCAGUCUUCUGUGAUCGCAAGUUUAAGCUAAAUACCCCAACCACAACAAGGGCUCAGCAGUUACACAAUGGAGAGGUGGUCUCCAGGUAUGGACUUCCCCACUCUUAAUUACAGUGCUACUUUUGAUGGAAUACACAACUCUGUUUUAGCUUCAACUUUCAAACUUUGUAACUUAACUAGGGUAGUGGAAAGGAAAAGUUGCAAAUUUUUAAUUUGUGUCCGAUGCUCACUUAUUUCUUGCUGAACAUUUACUGUAAUCAUUUAGGGCUGAGUUCCCCUUUUUUUUCUUUCAGACAAAGGACUUUUAGCUUCAGCAGACGUCACCUUCAUUCAUUCAUUAACCCUUAUUAACUGCCACUGAUAUCACUCUAUGUCCUGCAAACAAAGGGAUCACAGCCUUUGUGUCAGUCAGUGUGGACAGGACUGUAGAUGUUUUUGUGUUUGGGUGAUUAUCUCCAUCUUACGAGGCAGCAUUGGAUAUCAUCACUUUCUCUAAUACUGCCUGGUAAUGAUGAUGAUAGUCAUCAGCAGACUGCAACCAGACAAACCACUUUAGCAAUGUUAGCUACAACAUGCUCCUGUCUUGGGCCCCAGAUCGACCAAAUUCUUGAGCAGUAACAGAAAUGGCUCUCAGGAUCCAUCUUACCUGGCAGUGCUGGAUUGUACAAUGGUUGUUCUAACACUGUCUGGUAACGAUGUUUUCUGGGUGACUCUGUGGUCUCCGGUGUGACUGUGGGAUUGUUUCCCAUCAAAGUUUCUCUUUAAAUUGUUAAAUGUAAAUGCCUGUUGAAAUCUUGUAGGUUGUCAUUGAAGGGUAAACCCAACAAGCACAGCUGCCUCAGUAUUCUGAGGUAGCAUGAUUUUUCCAGUAAUGUGUCUUACAUUUUACUCUGACCUUAAAUUCACAAUAAGUUUGCUAUCUUUUGUUUACAAUGCACUUGUACUAUAGAUGCCCCAGGCUGUACUGUACUGUUAUGUUGAUUAGUCAAAGUAAAAUGGAAGAGCAGUACAGAUGCAGCGUUGACUGACAAGACACUAGUUGGUCUAAAAUUACAGCUAUGUAACCCUUUUUCUGUAAUAAAUUUGAACAGGGAUGUAUACCUGUGAGAAAAGUAGAUCUUUUGUGCAGUAGUAGCCAUAAAGAUAAGCUGUUAUGUUUUCCACUUCUUGACUUACCUCCCUGUCUUAAAAAAAAAAGAAAAAACUUUUAUGGCUGCCCUACCCCACCCAAGUUAAAGAAUAGCAGUCGGUUGAUGGUUCCACCGGUCCUGCAAGGCCUUAUUUCCUUGUUCCCUCCCCUGAACAGCGUUGGUCUUUGUGCUGUGUGGCAGUGAUUGGUCCACCUAACCGUACCUGCGUGGCACAUCCUGAAACAGACAAAUGAACUCACCCGAGAACGCUGUACUGUUAAAAACAUGAACUACAGAUGCCCUGACUCUCUCCCAGCCUUACAAGGUUGUUGUCUACCAAAAGAAAAUCAAAAGAAAACUACUUCUUCAUAUAUCGACAUAGAUAUAAAAUUAAGUUCCUGAAACUAACUACUGACUUGAAGCAAUGUGUUAUUAAUUAAACUUAAACACAGCGCUUGUAUUGUUAACUUUAAAUGAUUUUCAUAAUCUAGACAGACAUGUAAGUUUAAUAGGUAUAGCCUGCAAACACACACCAGGAAAGAAGCAAAUAAUAGAGGCAGAGUGAGUAGAAACCUAGUGUUUAUUGAAGGAGGAUAUCCCACAAAUAUUGAGCCACACCUUUAUUUGCCCACCCAGCUCCAUUAUCCAAGCUACAGAAACAUGAAAUAGCUUUUUUUCUCUCCAGUUAUCCCUUCUCUUUGUAGUGUGGUCACGUAUUUUGUAUGAAUCUAAUAAUGAAGAGAGACUGGGACUUGGAACAGAAAUAGUAAAAGCCAACCAAGCUUACUUUGCUUUUUUUCUUGGUCUGUUUACUCGAGGCUUUUACUCUCUCUCUCUCUCUCUCUCUCUCUGCAUGCUUUGCCAAUUUAAAUGUACAACUGAAUGAAAUUACAGAAUUUGUGAUUGCAACAAAAGAGGAACUGCUCAUUUCAACCUGUGUCUGCUGCACCAUUCUCUUCCCUCCAUUCUUUUCUUUCUCUUUGCACAGGUGAAAACUCAGAGGCCAUCCUUCCAGCCUGUUGAUAGGCGUCUUACCAGACAUGGUUAGAUGUAAUUAUUGGUGUCUAAUACUGUCUGGUAAUGCCGUCCAUUAAAUGGCAUUACCUUCUGCUCUCUUACUUCCCCUUCUCUCACUCUUGUGCAUCUGACAUGCAGUGUAUUGACAAAGGGCAGUCCAGACAAGGGCAUCAGCAUAUUAAUAGCAGUGGCAGAUGGGGCUGGAUGAUGAUGACUAUGGAACUAUGAUCCUUGCGCUGGAAGAUGGAUUGAUUUCUUGUAGUUUCUUCCAUGUGACUUGAGUCAGAGUUUCUCCACUGAGCAACUGUCCAGUAUAAGAUCGUUCUACUUACAGAGGGCUUUCUCACCUGUAAAUUAGUUUCUGGUAGGAAUGUUAAUGUGAAUGUCACAUAAAAAUGUAUUUUGUAACUUUUACUUGCUGACAGAUCUGUUUUCUUCAUGACUAAAUUCUGUCUGGAAACAUAGUAAAACAAUGUGCAUAGUUUCUGAAACUCUGUUGUCUAUAACAUACUGUACCUAAUGUUAACUGUAUUUACUGUGAUAUGAAGUUGUGUAAUGUAACAGAAGAAAUGAAAUAAAGUAGGAUCAAAUUUGAA